rnacentral:rRNA from 13 species
CCUGAUGGGUAGUUUGACUGGGGCGGUCGCCUCCUAAAAGGUAACGGAGGCGCCCAAAGGUUCCCUCAGCCUGGUUGGCAAUCAGGUGUCGAGUGCAAGUGCACAAGGGAGCUUGACUGUGAGACAGACAUGUCGAGCAGGGACGAAAGUCGGGACUAGUGAUCCGGCACCUACUUGUGGAUGUGGUGUCGCUCAACGGAUAAAAGGUACCUCGGGGAUAACAGGCUGAUCUUGCCCAAGAGUCCAUAUCGACGGGAUGGUUUGGCACCUCGAUGUCGGCUCGUCGCAUCCUGGGGCUGGAGUCGGUCCCAAGGGUUGGGCUGUUCGCCCAUUAAAGCGG